rnacentral:rRNA from 1 species
AUAAUACUCCAUAGAUUAGAGAUACUGGAAUGUUCUUUAGUCAAAAGUUCCGGCGCCUUAGGAUGGAUCUGCGGUCGAUUAGGUUGUUGUUGGGGUAACGGCCCAACAAGCCUGUAAUCGAUACGGGUUGUGGGAGCAAUAGCCCGGAGAUGGAAUCUGAGACAAGAUUCCAGGCCCUACGGGGCGCAGCAGGCGCGAAAACUUUACAAUGCAGGAAACUGUGAUAAGGGAACCCCGAGUGCCCGUAUACGCGGGCUGUCCAGGUGUUUAAAAGUCAUCUGAAGAAAGGGCCGGGCAAGACCGGUGCCAGCCGCCGCGGUAAUACCGGCGGCUCGAGUGGUGGCCACUAUUAUUGGGCUUAAAGCGUCCGUAGCUGGACUGAUAAGUCUCUUGGGAAAUCCGCCGGCUCAACCGGCGGGCGUCUAAGGGAUACUGUUGGUCUAGGGACCGGGAGAGGUGAGAGGUACUCCGGGGGUAGGAGUGAAAUCCUGUAAUCCCCGGGGGACCACCGAUGGCGAAGGCAUCUCACCGGAACGGCUCCGACAGUGAGGGACGAAAGCUGGGGGAGCAAACCGGAUUAGAUACCCGGGUAGUCCCAGCCGUAAACUAUGCGCGUUAGGUGU